AUGUCAAAGAGGAUUGAGGGAACACAACAACAAAUGCUACGUUUUAAUGAGAUACAAAGUCACCUGGCAUGAUGCAGCAUACAGGUGUAGGAGAAAUGGUGCCUAUCUGGCAUCCAUCACAAGCAAGGAGGAGAACUACUUCAUUAAAGGUCUUAUCUCUAAUGCCCCUGAUAAAGGUGUCUGGAUUGGACUUCGUAAGAAUGGGAGAGCUUGGAAGUGGAAUGAUGGAUCACGAUUCAGCUAUCAGAAUUGGGACCAUGGUGAGCCUAACAACGAUUUCUGGAACGGUGGAGAGGACUGUGUGAACAUAUGGUCUAAGACCGGCAAAAACUGGACAAACACCCUGAGAUGGACAUACGGAAGAUGGAAUGACAACAAGUGCAAAGAGACAUUUCCUUACAUUUGCGAAAAGUCAAAAUAGUGACAUACAAGCCAGUAUUGAAUGGUACUGCGUGUUUGGGGUCCCAGCAUGAUAGCAGUGGAUAGGCUUUCCAUCAUCGAAGCAAAUGGAGAAAGAGUGGAUGUAAAAAAUAAUCAAUCCACCCUUGCAUUGCAGUAUUGAAGAAAUUUGACCGUAAUCGCGAUGUUAGGCAUUUCAGUAUCCAUUCAAAUAGAAGGUUGUCACUUAGCAUUGAACUAGAUGUCAAAGGUCACUUGCAUGUCCAACAUGGCAUUUACUUUGUCCAUAUGGACAAUAACGAAGCACAUUAUUAGCUCACAUAAUACAUAAAGUCUUGUUGCUAUACGGAAAAUGCAGACGGCGACUGCAGCAGAAAAUAUGAUUUCAUUUGCAAGUAGUCAAAAAAGGGACAUCCCAGAAUAUAAGUUUAUCUGUGGCGGUAGUCAACUUUAUGUUAAGGAUUGAUCGAAAUCUUGUUGGUAAGCACUUUACUUUGUGUACGUAUAUUGUUUUUUUUUUUUUUUAAUUGUAACAUCAAAGUCACAUCCAAGUUGGCGUAAAAAGUACGCACUGGUGCUGCAAAAGCGACCAGAGAAGCACGAAGAGUGGAUGAAAAAGAUUCUCCCUUCCAUCGAAGUAUGUUUGUUUUGACCAACAUCGUACGUAAUGUAGAGCAAGUUUUACAGUCAAUCAUACAAUGGCAGUUAGCAUUGUAGGCUUUUGAAACCCCAGUGGGAGUCGAAUACUCCGCAAUUCUUUAUAGCGAAAUGAACCAUUGUGUUUAGUAUCGUUCAUUCACAAGUUUUCAUAUACUGAAUCAUGUCCAGGUUCAAGUCCGGACUUAAACCUGAUCUUCUGGACCUAAAUUUUCUAUACCGGUACCCACCCAUAGAUGUGACAAGUCAUCGUAAUGUCCGCGACCUUGACUUUCAGUUAUGAACAACCAUGAAAUAUUCUUUCCAUACGUCUAUUUAUUUUGAUUUAUGGUCUUAUUGCUAGAAACAAAAUCUAAGUACAAACGCUACAGAAUCUGAUUAGUGUCAGCAAGAUGUUUCCAUUGAUGCAUUGGACAUAAGUCGCUUCUGUUCGCUGUGUACCUCAGACGAGGGGGGGGGGCAGUUUGCCGUUCGAUUCACACCUGCUUGGCAGCAAAUUUCUGUGAAUGCAAUGAACAGAUCCAAGAUACCUCCUACCCAGUUCUGCAUGAAUAAAAAAAAUUUCAUAUCAAGGAUGAUGAAAUCUUCAAGAGAUUAAUUUUUAUGAUGACACAAACUCAUUACUAUUACCAAUAGUUUAGAGAGAUGAGUUUUGGACUAGACCAGUUGCAGCUAUUUUACCUUUUUGAUAUGCUUAAGACAACAAAAGUGGUGUUAAAUCAUAUCACUUCUACUUAUGUGCAGAUUUACUUGCAAACUAUAGUAAUAAGUAGCAAGACUACAGAGGGUUGGUAUAACAGGAACAUAGCAGCAGUGAGGCUUGUAUUAAAGUGACAAACAUAUUGCAAGCCGCAGUAAUUAUGUUUUUUCUCUUAUUGCGCAAUGUAACUAGUGCGAAGAACAAAGAUUUUAAACUUGCAAACUUUUAUAAGAACUAAGUCAUGAUGUAAUAAUAGUACUGCACAGAAAAGAAAUUUUGAAAUUACAAAUGCCAAUUCCUCUGUAGUUUAUAGCUUGACUGUUGAUUAUGAAAAUAACCCAGGAGCUGAUAACAAAUUGUUGAACAUUUAUAAUUAUAGUGUCAAAGUUGUAACUAAAGAAAUAGGACAGCCUACAUGUAGAAAACUAAGUGCAUUUAGUUCUGUUUAACGCUGUUUAUUGAUAUUAAAUGAUAAUAAUUCUAACUUCUCUACUCAUGGUAUAGUGUUGAAAAGAAGCACCUGGUGCUAUACAUGCAUGUGAAUUCCAAAUUGGCUUAGGGCAGAAUCACUUUAUUGUUAACAUUAAGUUAACAAGCAGAAAUGGAAGUUGCCAAAGAACUUGUGUGAUAUUAUUAAAGAAUCUGAA